UCUCAGGUAUCGUGCAGCAUA
rnacentral:piRNA from 1 species